AUUGAACGCUGGCGGCAGGCCUAACACAUGCAAGUCGAAUGGUAACAGGAAACAGCUUGCUGUUUCGCUGACGAGUGGCGGACGGGUGAGUAAUGUCUGGGAAACUGCCUGAUGGAGGGGGAUAACUACUGGAAACGGUAGCUAAUACCGCAUAACGUCGCAAGACCAAAGAGGGGGACCUUCGGGCCUCUUGCCAUCAGAUGUGCCCAGAUGGGAUUAGCUAGUAGGUGGGGUAACGGCUCACCUAGGCGACGAUCCCUAGCUGGUCUGAGAGGAUGACCAGCCACACUGGAACUGACACGGUCCAGACUCCUACGGGAGGCAGCAGUGGGGAAUAUUGCACAAUGGGCGCAAGCCUGAUGCAGCCAUGCCGCGUGUAUGAAGAAGGCCUUCGGGUUGUAAAGUACUUUCAGCGGGGAGGAAGGGAGUAAAGUUAAUACCUUUGCUCAUUGACGUUACCCGCAGAAGAAGCACCGGCUAACUCCGUG
rnacentral:rRNA from 1 species